UACGUAGGGUGCAAGCGUUGUCCGGAAUUAUUGGGCGUAAAGAGCUCGUAGGCGGUCUGUCGCGUCGGCUGUGAAAUCUCGGGGCUCAACCCCGAGCCUGCAGUCGAUACGGGCAGACUAGAGUUCGGUAGGGGAGUCUGGAAUUCCUGGUGUAGCGGUGAAAUGCGCAGAUAUCAGGAGGAACACCGGUGGCGAAGGCGGCAUCCUGGACCGGUAUUGACGCUGAGGCGCGAAAGCCAGGGGAGCAAACGGG
rnacentral:rRNA from 1 species